rnacentral:rRNA from 1 species
UACGGAGGGGGCGAGCGUUGUCCGAAGUUACUGGGCGUAAAGGGCGCGUAGGCGGGUCGAUAAGUCUGCUGUGAAAGCCCGGGGCUCAACCCCGGAGGGUCGGUGGAUACUAUCGGUCUUGAAGGUGCUAGGGGGAGAUGGAAUUACCGGUGUAGCGGUGAAAUGCGUAGAUAUCGGUAGGAACACCAGUGGCGAAGGCGGUCUCCUGGGGCACUCUUGACGCUGAGGCGCGAAAGCUGGGGGAGCGAACGG